AGCGAACGCUGGCGGCAGGCCUAACACAUGCAAGUCGAACGGAUCCUUCGGGAUUAGUGGCGGACGGGUGAGUAACACGUGGGAACGUGCCUUUUGGUUCGGAACAACUCAGGGAAACUUGAGCUAAUACCGGAUGUGCCCUUCGGGGAAAGAUUUAUCGCCAUUAGAGCGGCCCGCGUCUGAUUAGCUUGUUGGUGAGG
rnacentral:rRNA from 1 species